UCUUGCUCAUUAUUGGUGUUAUUGUUCUUCAUGUAGUUAAAUUAUUCUUCCCUUUCAAGAAUAUACCAUAGUUUGUAAUUUAUAUUCAAGCACUGUAGUUUAUCUUCUGGCCAGUCAUUUGGGACCUCCAAAAAGAUGAACAACUGAAGAGGAAGAAGAGAGAGGGAACAUUCAAAACAUGAUGACUCUGUUUACCACCACCCUACACUAAAUUCCACUGGAGCUCUACCACCUAGGAAACCUCCAAUGUUGAAAUCAUCAAUUGUAUUUGUUUAGAUACAUGCUUUCAAGGGAGUUAGAAGCUAAGCAAAGGUUGCAAGGCGGCCAACUUAGAAUAAGACAUGAGGCUAAGCCAUGGUAGA